UACAGAGGGUGCAAGCGUUAAUCGGAAUUACUGGGCGUAAAGCGUGCGUAGACGGUUGCGUAAGUCAGAUGUGAAAUCCCUCGGCUUAACCGGGGAACUGCCUCUGAUACUGGAUGGCUUGAGGUUGGGAGAGGGAUGCGGAAUUCCAGGUGUAGCGGUGAAAUUCGUAGAUAUCGGGAGGAACACCAGUGGCGAAGGCGGCUCACUGGUCCGGUACUGACGCUGAGGUGCGAAAGCGUGGGGAGCAAACAGG
rnacentral:rRNA from 1 species